ACGGGAGGCAGCAGUGGGGAAUUUUGGACAAUGGGGGCAACCCUGAUCCAGCCAUGCCGCGUGCAGGAAGAAGGUCUUCGGAUUGUAAACUGCUUUUGUAAGGGACGAAAAGGUUGAUACGAACAAUGUCAACUGCUGACGGUACCUUAAGAAUAAGCACCGGCUAACUACGUGCCAGCAGCCGCGGUAAUACGUAGGGUGCAAGCGUUAAUCGGAAUUACUGGGCGUAAAGCGUGCGCAGGCGGUCGGAUAAGACAGGUGUGAAAUCCCCGGGCUUAACCUGGGAACUGCAUUUGUGACUGUUCGACUAGAGUAUGUCAGAGGGGGGUGGAAUUCCAAGUGUAGCAGUGAAAUGCGUAGAUAUUUGGAAGAACACCGAUGGCGAAGGCAGCCCCCUGGGGCAAAACUGACGCUCAUGCACGAAAGCGUGGGGAGCAAACAGGAUUAGAUACCCUGGUA
rnacentral:rRNA from 1 species